rnacentral:rRNA from 1 species
UUAAGAUACUAAGAGCAUACGGUGGAUGCCUUGGCGAUAUCUGCCGACGAAGGACGUGACAAGCUGCGAAAAGCUGCGGAGAGAUGCAAAUAAUCGGCGACCCGCAGACAUCCGAAUGGAGAAAUCCGGCUGUGAUGAUGCACAGCCAUCCAUGCCCAAGAGCAUGAGAAGGGAACCGGGCGAACUGAAACAUCUAAGUAGCCCGAGGAAAAGAAAUCAAACGAGAUACCCCAAGUAGCGGCGAGCGAACAGGGAAGAAGCCCAAACCGGUGAAGGAAACUUUACCGGGGUUGAGGACCAUCAGAACCGCGAAGAACCUUAGCCGAAACUGUUGGGAAACAGUGCCGAAGACAGUGAAAGCCUGGUAGGCGAAAAAGAGAAACGCGGAGAUGGCACCAGAGUACCGCGGGACACGAGAAAUCCCGUGGGAAGCAGGGGGGACCACCCUCCAAGGCAAAACACAGAUAUCGACCGAUAGCGCAUAGUACCAUGAGGGAAAGGUGAAAAGCACCCCGGGAGGGGAAUGAAAGAGAACCUGAAACCGUAUGUUUACAAGCAGUCGGAGACCGCUUAAUAAUAAGGUCGACGGCGUGCCUAUUGAAGAAUGAACCGGCGAGUUACGAAGCCUGGCAAGGUUAAGCAGGAAAUGCGGAGCCGAAGCGAAAGCGAGUCUUAAGAGGGCGCAAGUCAGGAAGCGUAGACCCGAAACCACAGUGAUCUACCCAUGUCCAGGUUGAAACACAGGUAAAAAUGUGUGGAGGACCGAACCUAUAUCCGUUGAAAAGGGUUAGGAUGAGGUGUGGGUAGGGGUGAAAUUCCAAUCGAACGUGGAGAUAGCUGGUUCUCCCCGAAAUAGCUUUAGGGCUAGCCUCAGGGAAAAGAUUGCAGGCGGUAGAGCACUGAUCAGGAGAGGGACCUACCCGGUUACCAAACCCAGUCAAACUCCGAAUGGCUGCAAUCAUACCUGGGAGUCAGACUGCGACUAAUAAGGGCCGCAGUCAAAAGGGAAACAGCCCAGACCAUCAGCUAAGGUCCCCAAUGCCGUGCUAAGUGGCGAAGGAUGUGGCAUUUCAUAAACAACCAGGAUGUUGGCUCAGAAGCAGCCACCAUUUAAAGAGUGCGUAAUAGCUCACUGGUCGAGAGACGCUGCGCCGAAAAUGUCCGGGGCUCAAGCACGGAACCGAAGCUAUGGCAUGAUAGCAAUAUCAUGGGUAGGGGAGCGUUCUUAUAAGGAAGAAGCAUGACCGGAAGGACAUGUGGACAAAUAAGAAGUGAGAAUGCCGGUAUGAGUAUCGAAAAGAAAGGUGAGAAUCCUUUCCACCGAAAGCCCGAGGGUUCCUGAGCAACGAUCGUCGACUCAGGGUAAGUCGGGACCUAAGCCGAGGCGAGAAGCGUAGGCGAUGGACAACAGGUUGAAAUUCCUGUACCGGAUCAAGUCGAUCGAGCGAAGGAGCGACGCAGGAGGGCACAUGAUCGCGCGGCUGGAAGAGCGCGUCCAAGUGCGUAUGUUGCCGCAGAGGAAAACCCCUGCAGCUAAAAGCAGAGACAUGAUGGGGAGUUAAAGGAAACUUUGACGAACUCAUGGAUCCCACACUGCCAAGAAAAACUUCUAGCGAGACAAGAUCCGCCCGUACCGUAAACCGACACAGGUAGGCGGGGAGAGAAUCCUAAGGUGCGCGGGAAAACCCUCGUUAAGGAACUCGGCAAAUUGCAUCCGUAACCUAGGGAGAAGGAUGGCCCCCGGUCAGUGAAGAGCAGAAACGCUCAGAGCUAAAAGGGGCGGCAGAAAAGAGGCCCAAGCAACUGUUUACCAAAAACACAGGUGCCUGCGAAAGCGAAAGCUGAAGUAUAGGUGCUGACGCCUGCCCGGUGCCGGAAGGUUAAGGAGAGAAGUUAGCGAACGCGAAGCAUCGAACUGAAGCCCCGGUGAACGGCGGCCGUAACUAUAACGGUCCUAAGGUAGCGAAAUUCCUUGUCGGGUAAGUUCCGACC